rnacentral:rRNA from 1 species
CGGAUUUAUUGGGCGUAAAGCGUUCGUAGGCGGCCUGUUGCGUCCGCUGUGAAAUCCCGGGGCUCAACCGCGGGCGUGCAGUGGAUACGGGCUGGCUGGAGGCAAGCAGGGGAGAACGGAAUUCCUGGUGUAGCGGUGAAAUGCGCAGAUAUCAGGUAGAACACCCGUGGCGAAGGCGGCUCGCUAGUACGGUACUGACGCUGAGACGCGAAAGCGUGGGGAGCGAACAGG